UACGUAGGCAGCGAGCGUUGUUCGGAAUUACUGGGCGUAAAGAGCUCGUAGGCGGCUUGUUGCGUCUGCUGUGAAAUCCCGGGGCUUAACCCCGGGCGUGCAGUGGAUACGGGCAGGCUGGAGGCAGGCAGGGGAGAAUGGAAUUCCCGGUGUAGCGGUGAAAUGCGCAGAUAUCGGGAGGAACACCGGUGGCGAAGGCGGGUCUCUGGGCAGUAACUGACGCUGAGGAGCGAAAGCGUGGGGAGCGAACAGG
rnacentral:rRNA from 1 species